GCUAAUUUUUGCUAAGUGGAGCCUCGAAUGUUUUGUGUGUACACAGUAAAUUUGUGCCUCAAUUUCCAGCAAAAAAAAUUGCUGGAAACGUUCAGCAAUGCAAAAUUUUGCUGGAAACCAGCAAUCGGUUUUCCAAUUGCUGGAUUUUUCAGCAUUCGGUUGUAGUCUUGUCAUUUUUGCUGAAAAAACAGUUAUCGGUUUUCCAAAUUGCUGGACUUCCCAGCAAUUGAUCUAGUUUGCUGGAAAAUCAGCACUUGAGUUGUCGAAUUGGAGUCUGUUUGUUUUCGUACGCUGGAGCAAGCAAUCAGGCAUUAAGUCAAGGGUGGCUGAUGAUCAACACUUUGGCACAAAGCUGCCACCCUAGAGCCAAUUAUAGAAAAUUGUAAAAAAUGGUGUUUCCCGAAAUAAUUAAAUCCCUU